AGUAUCUCCCUUUCCACCUUGAAUCUGAGCCUUUAGCCUCCCAGCUCCUCCUCAACAGACCAGGGAGGCAAUGGCACACCAGCCUGUUCCCCAGCUCAGGGAGAACUGGAUCUGGACUCACCUCAUUGGAGCCUGAAUGGGAUCCAGACCAUCAGCCACCCCAUCACCCAUCCCUCCAUCAGAGUUUUUCAUGGUUCUGCUUCCCUGCCACCCAAGAGGUCACAGAGGUGCAAACAGCAGAGCCUCAGACCUCAUCUUUCCUUUCCAGACCACCUUCUUUCCUUUCUGGAGAUGGGAGACAUAGAGGGAGCCUGAGACCUGUCCCACCUGUGGCUGAUAGGACCUCCUCGUGCUUCUGGAAUGGGAGGUUGGACCACAUCUAGACUGCAGCUUCGUCCAUUCAACUGGAGCUCACCCACUAAGGUUACUGGAAAAUGUUCAUUUUUACAUUCAGCAUGUUACCCCAACCAUCAAAAUAAUCUGCAGUUGGUUUAUUUUUUGGAAAUCUGUUUGCUGGAAACCAAAAAAAUUGUUAGUCAGAAAAAAGAUGUUAGUGAGAGAGAUCACAGCAGUGUAAACAAAGCUAAGAAGUUGGCUUGCCCCAUGCAUGCAACCUGUAGAAGGUGCAAUGGAGGGCUGGUUUGUGUUGUUGGCUAAUAGCUCUUAAUCUGCAGAGCAGCUCAUCAACAUUGAAACCAAUGGCACCAUCUUGGGGUCUAAACAAGGGGAGUCAAUGGAAGUGGUUGUCAAAAGAAGCAAAAACAUACCUCAGAAAUUCCAGCUCUUUUUGACAAAUAUCCAAAGCUGAGACUCAAAAUUGACAUCAACUUAUUCAUUAAAGCCUCCCUACACACACCACCACCACCAUUGCAACAGGUCAUUUUCUUUGUCUGUCCCCCCCCGCCACCCAAGAGAGUGUGCAUUUGAAACUAAUCAAAUUCAAUGGCAACUAGAAACCCCACAUCAUAAGCAGUGUAUUUCAUUGUAUGUGGUUUGGUCUAAUUCUGGAUGAACCACUCAUAAAACCCCCUCCUCCCACUUUUGCCUCCAGCUGAAGCAGCAUCAACAGUGACUGCAGCCUCCUCUGCACAGCUGCUUCUCCUCUGACAAUUGCUGCUCAAACUCAGGGCCCUUCUUUAGAAUGUGGUGCUAGAAUCAGGGAGGAGAGGGAGCAGCGGGCCACCGAAACACAAACUCCAAACAUGAGAAAGCAUCUGUUGUGUAAUUUUGAAGUAAACGCUAUGCAUUUACCCAAAUCAGUUGAAAACUUAUGUCCACACAAAAACCUAGAAACAUGAAUGUUUAUAGCAGUUUUCUAUUCAUAACUGUCAGAACUUGGAAGCGAUCAAGGUGUCCUUCAGUAAAUGAAUGGCUGAGUAAACUAGAAAUCCAGAAAAUGGACUAUGACCAAGUGCUAGAAAGAAGUGAGCUCUCAAACCAUGAAAAGACAUGGAGGAAAAUUAAAUGCAUAUCAUUAUGUGAAUGAAGCCAAUCUGAAAAGAUGACAUUCUGGAAAAGGCAAAACUAUGGACACAGUAAAAAGAAGAGGGGUCGUCAAGGGAAAGUGAGGUGGGAGGGAUGAAUACAUGGAGCAUAGGGGAUUUUUAGGGCAUGAAGCUCUUCUAUAAGACACCACAAUGUUGAAUACAUGGCAUUAUACAUUUGUCCAAACCCACAGAAUGUACAACACAAAGAGUGAACCCUAAUGUACACUAUGGACUCUGGGUGAUCAUAAUGUAUCAGUAUAGGAAAAUGUACCCUCUUGUGUAGGGUGUUAAUUGCAUGCAAGUGUGGAUAGGGGAUGUGUGGAAAUGCUGUCUACUUUCCACUCAAUUUUGGUAUGAUCCUAACAUUGCUCUAAAAAUUAAGGUGUAUUUUUUUUAAGUCUGUCACACUAAAAAGAAAAAGAGAGGAAACAGAGCAAAAGUGAGUCUUUUAAAUAUUUGAUUUAAAUAUCAGGGUCUGGAGUUCCCAUUGAGGCUCAGAGGGUUAAGAACCCGACUAGUAUCCAUGAGGAUGAGGGUUCGAUCCUUGUCCUUACUCAGUGGGUUAAGGAUCUGGCAUUGCCAUGAGCCAUGGUGUAGGCUGCAGAUGUGGCUUGUAUCCCAUGUUGCUAUGGCUGUGGUGUAGGCUGGCAGCUGCAGCUCCUAUUUGACCCCUAGCCUGGGAACAUCCAUAUGCCACAAGCAUGGCCCUAAAAAGCAAAAACAAAUAAAUCUCUCUCUCUUUGUAUAUUUCUAUAUAUAUCAGUGUCUGGUCACUGAGAGGUGUAGAAUAAUCACAAGGGAUACUUGAUUUUUAAUGUGUCUUUACUGAUCCAGCCCCAUCCUCAACAAACUACUUUCCUCCCUACUGGAGCUCCACUUCUGCCUUCCUAAUAUCAGGACCUGGCCACGUCAAGCUGUUUCCUGCUUGGUCUGCCCCUAUGGCCUCAGGAGAAGGCCCUGAAGUGCAGGGAGGUGGGAAGGCCACAUCUUCCCCAGCGCCCCUCUCACCUGCACCCAUAGAUUCAGGAUCUGUUCUUCUUGGCCCAUGUGAACUUGCACUGAGUUCCUGCAGGAGGGAGCUGCUAAUUUCCACCCAAGACUGGACAAUCAGUAAGGGUUAGACAGUCAUUGCUCUAUAAGAUGUGAGCGAAGACCAAGGCCAGGCUGAACUCGGAAGAGGCAUCUGGCUGAGGGUGGCCUGGACAAAUGCAAGUACAAGCAGCUCCAUUCCCCUUUCCUGACCUAUCGGUCUGCUAACGACACACAGGAAAGAGAUACAGUGUAAAUUCAGGUUUAACAGCAAGAGUGAGCUAAGGCUAACCAUUUUGCCAUAGGAACGAAUUUAUCUGAGAAGUUCAAAAUACAGACUUCAAGCCUACUGUUCAUAUACCGAGUCAUUAUUAAAGCAUCCAUUUCCCCAAAUUUCAAUCCCACCUCCAAAACCACUGAGUCUUUUCUCAGGCCUGAUGUCUUUGCCAGUAUUUCUUCAUUCUGCUGGCUGGAAUAAAGACCCUGACACAGAAGAGGUUAGACAAUCAAGGAGCCUUUAAGGGUAUGGUGGGCAAGAGUGACCCCUGCUGGAUGAAUAAGGGACU
rnacentral:lncRNA from 1 species